rnacentral:lncRNA from 1 species
GGAGAAAGAAGACGCAGGAUGAUAACGUUUAGGAGAGACACGAAGUCAUCGAAGCUCAACCGCUUUUGAAGGAUAGAACUAAAGUGAGAAAUGAAACCCUAUAAGGAGAAAAUGAAGGUGGCGUCAUGAAUUUGACAUCGCCUAAGGUGCUUAGGAAUGGUACAGAAGGCUCCUCCCUCCUGGGGUCACUGGGUGACACACGUGCUUCGGGGGCAACCCACCGCCCAGCAACACCUCUGCUGCCCCGCUGCUCUUUUCCCGGACUUCAAACUAAAGCACUGGAGCUCGUGCGGCCAGCUGUGCACCUCUGCUCCUGGGUGGGCCCCGAGGUCGGUCUUCGCUUCUCUCAUGAGGCGACUUAGGGAUGCCAGGGAGAGCUACACCACGGGAACCAGGGUCUUCACAAAGGCUAGACAGUCACCACCCUCGGGUCUCCUCCAAGUGUCCCCAGCUCUGAGUUCCACGAGUCAAUUCCUGCAUCUCCAUGAACUCCUCAGCCCCAGAACGAAUGCUCAUGUGAGGAUGAGAUGGAGAGAUACUGGCUUCUCUUACCAAAGGACACGAAAGCAUCUUGUGGCGAUUUCUUAGACACUUGUCUGCCUUCUGGAAGUGAAGUCUAUUCUUAUGGGGGCAGCCUCAAUGCUUCAGGCGACCUCUACACCCUCUGCUGCCAGCUGACUGCUCUCACCAGCUCCCGGAUGAUGUCCCCACGAGGAGCAGUCAUUGCCUGAUCUCACAGCCCUGAUGGUGUCCUCAGUCCUUUGAUCCCUGUGGCUCCUCUGACUGGGCCUCUGGCGCCUGCGCCACUGCUCCCUGUGGGCGUCAGGGCCUAAGGGCCAUGGGAGCUGCUGUACUUCCUGGGCCAGGAACUCCCCUGUUACCUGUCACACUGAGCCUGGCUACUCCUGAGCCGUGAACUGGCUGCUGAGCAAAGCCUAAGACUGAGGAACUGAGUAAAAAAAAUGGCUGGGAAAGAAGGCCAAGAAUG